GAUGAACGCUGGCGGCGUGCUUAACACAUGCAAGUCGAACGGAACUACUCCAAUGAGAGUCUUCGGAAAGGAUUUGGUUUAGUUUAGUGGCGGACGGGUGAGUAACGCGUGGGUAACCUGCCCUAUACAGGGGGAUAACAGUUGGAAACGACUGUUAAUACCGCAUAAGCGCACAGGAGCGCAUGCUCCGGUGUGAAAAACUCCGGUGGUAUAGGAUGGACCCGCGUCUGAUUAGCUGGUUGGCGGGGUAACGGCCCACCAAGGCGACGAUCAGUAGCCGGGCUGAGAGGGUGAACGGCCACAUUGGGACUGAGACACGGCCCAAACUCCUACGGGAGGCAGCAGUGGGGAAUAUUGCACAAUGGGGGAAACCCUGAUGCAGCGACGCCGCGUGAGCGAAGAAGUAUCUCGGUAUGUAAAGCUCUAUCAGCAGGGAAGAAAAUGACGGUACCUGACUAAGAAGCCCCGGCUAACUACGUG
rnacentral:rRNA from 1 species